CGAAAGUGAGGAUAUCAAGGA
rnacentral:miRNA from 1 species